GCCUUUGGUUCUUCUUAGGCUUCCCCCUCCUCCUGCCCCCUGGCCUGCUUGCCUCCAGGCCAGGCGGCAGGAGGAGGGGGAAGCCUAAGAAGAACCCAGAGC